UACGGAGGGUGCAAGCGUUGCUCGGAAUUAUUGGGCGUAAAGGGUAGGUAGGUGGUCUUAUUUGUCUGAGGUGAAAGCCUUGAGCUUAACUCAAGAAGUGCCUCAGAAACGGUAAGACUGGAGUCCUGGAGAGGGUCGUGGAAUUCCAAGUGUAGCGGUGAAAUGCGUAGAGAUUUGGAGGAACACCAGUGGCGAAGGCGACUUUCUGGUCUGUAACUGACACUGAGGCGCGAAAGCGUGGGGAGCAAACAGG
rnacentral:rRNA from 1 species